rnacentral:rRNA from 1 species
GUUUGACCUCAAAUCAGGUAGGAUUACCCGCUGAACUUAAGCAUAUCAAUAAGCGGAGGAAAAGAAACCAACUGGGAUUACCUUAGUAACGGCGAGUGAAGCGGUAA